rnacentral:rRNA from 1 species
CAGCAGCCGCGGUAAUACGAAGGGUGCAAGCGUUACUCGGAAUUACUGGGCGUAAAGCGUGCGUAGGUGGUGGUUUAAGUCCGUUGUGAAAGCCCUGGGCUCAACCUGGGAAUUGCAGUGGAUACUGGGCCACUAGAGUGUGGUAGAGGAUAGUGGAAUUUCCGGUGUAGCAGUGAAAUGCGUAGAGAUCGGAAGGAACAUCUGUGGCGAAGGCGACUAUCUGGGCCAACACUGACACUGAGGCACGAAAGCGUGGGGAGCAAACAGGAUUAGAUACCCGCGUAGUCCCUGUCUCUUAUAA